rnacentral:ncRNA from 2 species
GACUCGUGGGGAGGAAUUCGGUGCGAAUCCGGAGCGGUCCCGCCACUGUGAGCGUCCCAGCACAAGCCAGGUCUAUCCCGCAAGUC